GGCUAGCUAGCUCAGCGGUAGAGCAUCGCAGCGCAUACUAUGAGGCGUGCGCCGCUUCUCCCAAAAGAAGCAGCGCGUGCCUCGUGCUUCACGAAGAGUUGGGUUCGAGUCCCAAGCUGGCCA